UCAGUCAUAGAGGCAUGGAGCAAGCAAGAUUAUAUAUUGCUUGGUAUAUUGUAUACAGCAGAGAAAAGGCAGUCACUAGCCCCGUGGGAGCUGAGAGGAGGAGGAAGAGUACAUCAGAAAGCAUCUGCAGUGUCACUUCAUACUUCUUUAACUGCGGUCAUGAGAAAACCAUGAUGUCCUAACCUGGAUGACCUGGCUGAGGUGUGUUAGGCUGCUGUUUGAUGGAGCUGUUUCCUGAGACCAAAGAGGACAGAAAUCUCAGCAUAUGACCAGUUUAUAAGUUUUAUCUUUGUGAUUCUACACCAUUUUCUUAGUGUAUAAUAAAUCUUCCCUGAUUAUCAUCUGA